rnacentral:rRNA from 1 species
ACUCAAAGGAAUUGACGGGGACCCGCACAAGCAGCGGAGCAUGUGGUUUAAUUCGAAGCAACGCGAAGAACCUUACCAGGACUUGACAUGCCCUUGCCCGUUCUAGAGAUAGAACCUUAUCUUCGGAUACAAGGGACACAGGUGGUGCAUGGUUGUCGUCAGCUCGUGUCGUGAGAUGUUGGGUUAAGUCCCGCAACGAGCGCAACCCUUGUCUUUAGUUGCUAACAGCUAGGCUGAGCACUCUAGAGAGACUGCCGAUGAGAAAUCGGAGGAAGGUGGGGAUGACGUCAAAUCAUCAUGCCCUUUAUGUCCUGGGCUACACACGUGCUACAAUGGUCGGUACAACGAGGAGCAACACAGCGAUGUGAAGCAAAUCUCUUAAAGCCGAUCCCAGUUCGGAUUGCAGGCUGCAACUCGCCUGCAUGAAGUCGGAGUUGCUAGUAAUCGCGAAUCAGAAUGUCGCGGUGAAUGCGUUCCCGGGUCUUGUACACACCGCCCGU